CACGUAGGCACCAAGCGUUGUCCGGAUUUAUUGGGCGUAAAGAGCUCGUAGGCGGUUCAGUAAGUCGGGUGUGAAAACUCUGGGCUCAACCCAGAGACGCCACCCGAUACUGCUGUGACUUGAGUACGGUAGGGGAGUGGGGAAUUCCUGGUGUAGCGGUGAAAUGCGCAGAUAUCAGGAGGAACACCGGUGGCGAAGGCGGUUCUCUGGGCAUGUCCUGACGCUGAGGAGCGAAAGUGUGGGGAGCGAACAGG
rnacentral:rRNA from 1 species